rnacentral:snRNA from 1 species
AUACUUCCCUGGCAGGGGAGAUACCAUGAUCAUGGAGGUGGUUUUCGCAGGGCAAGGCUUAUCCAUUGCACUUCAGAUGUGCUCACCCUGUGAUUUCCCUAAAUGUGGGAAACUUGACUGCAUCUUUUCUGGUAGUGGGGGACUGUAAAAAAAUGAUGAAAAGAAAAUAUAGGGGUUGCCCAUA